GACGAACGCUGGCGGCGUGCCUAAUACAUGCAAGUUGAGCGCUGAAGGUUGGUACUUGUACCGACUGGAUGAGCAGCGAACGGGUGAGUAACGCGUGGGGAAUCUGCCUUUGAGCGGGGGACAACAUUUGGAAACGAAUGCUAAUACCGCAUAAAAACUUUAAACACAAGUUUUAAGUUUGAAAGAUGCAAUUGCAUCACUCAAAGAUGAUCCCGCGUUGUAUUAGCUAGUUGGUGAGGUAAAGGCUCACCAAGGCGAUGAUACAUAGCCGACCUGAGAGGGUGAUCGGCCACAUUGGGACUGAGACACGGCCCAAACUCCUACGGGAGGCAGCAGUAGGGAAUCUUCGGCAAUGGACGAAAGUCUGACCGAGCAACGCCGCGUGAGUGAAGAAGGUUUUCGGAUCGUAAAACUCUGUUGGUAGAGAAGAACGUUGGUGAGAGUGGAAAGCUCAUCAAGUGACGGUAACUACCCAGAAAGGGACGGCUAACUGCGUG
rnacentral:rRNA from 1 species